CCCUUAGAUGUUCUGGGCUGCACGCGCGCUACACUGAUGCACUCAACGAGUUUACGACCUUGCCCGAUAGGGUUGGGUAAUCUUUUUAAAAUGCAUCGUGAUGGGGAUAGAUUAUUGCAAUUAUUAAUCUUAAACGAGGAAUUCCUAGUAAGCGCGAGUCAUCAGCUCGUGCUGAUUACGUCCCUGCCCUUUGUACACACCGCCCGUCGCUCCUACCGAUUGAGUGCUCAGGUGAAUAAUUCGGACUGCAGCAAUGUUUGGAUCCCGAACGUUGCAGCGGAAAGUUUAGUGAACCUUAUCACUUAGAGGAAGGAGAAGUCGUAACA
rnacentral:rRNA from 1 species